CAUUGACCUUACCGUUGUCUGUGAUGCCCGGAUUAAGCAGGACGCCCUAGACUUCUCUGACCUUCCUCUCCCUGCCCUGCUUGGAUAGAGGCCUCCGAACAGGAGUAAAGAAUGGCUGUUGAACAUCCACAAGGCACCUGCAAGAUCCCCCACAGGCGCUGCCUGAGACCCAGCUCUGUGUCUCCUCGUCGUACAGCUUGUGGAGCUCCGACUGCAAGGCCAUCAGCAUGCCCAGGCAGGGGUUAAGCUGGAGGGCCAUGGAGGAGGACAGGCCAGCAGGAUGCCGCUUCUGCUCCAGGACAUGCACCAUGCGUGAGAGAUUCUAAUUAUAUACAUGUUCAUAAACAUAUACUCACAUGCA
rnacentral:sRNA from 1 species